GCGUGCGUGAAGAAGGCCCUAGGGUUGUAAAGCGCUUUCGGCGGGGAAGAUGAUGACGGUACCCGCAGAAGAAGCCCCGGCUAACUCCGUGCCAGCAGCCGCGGUAAUACGGAGGGGGCUAGCGUUGUUCGGAAUUACUGGGCGUAAAGGGCGCGUAGGCGGAUCGUCAAGUCAGAGGUGAAAGCCCUAGGCUCAACCUGGGAACUGCCUUUGAAACUGACGAUCUAGAGUCCGAGAGAGGAUGGCGGAAUUCCCAGUGUAGAGGUGAAAUUCGU
rnacentral:rRNA from 1 species